GUCCUAGUGCCGGUCCGACCCAUAAGUUGGGUCGUGACAGUUAUAUAUAAGCUAACGAAAAAUUCCCACUAUAAAAGUCAAUCUGAAUUCUUUGUCACAUCAACCCACCGUUCCCAAGUCCCAUUUGUUUCAAGUGACCUUGAAUUUGGUUGCCCAUCGUCCAAACACAAUCAUGCAGUAGAAAAGAAUAGCUGUUUUCAGUAUCAUUACUUAAUUUAGUCACUGGUUUAUACACAAGUUUUCUCAUAAUAAUUAUUAAAAAAAAAGUACCUAAAAUACCAGCAAUCUUCUAUAUUGGGGAAAGAAAGAUAUCAUUGACAGAAAUUU
rnacentral:misc_RNA from 1 species